AGAGGACAUUGUUGUCAAAUUUCAAUCGUUGGAGAUCAAUAAUAAUAAAACAUAUGUAGGGAAAGAUUCUUGGAGAAGAGAGGAUAGAACCGAUUGGCAAGGCUAUUCGUCUUGGAAAGAGAACAAGCAGACUUUUAAGACCAACAACAACAACAAUAAUUACAACAACAACAACAGCAGCAACAACAACAACAACGGCAGCAGCAACAACAACAUCAACAGCAAUUACAACAAUUUCAAAAAGACGGAGAUGAUACAAACCCCUUAUAAUUUAAGGCCAAGAAAAAAUUAAUUUUAUUAAUGAUAUUAUGAUUGACCUUCAAGUUAAUAAUUAUGAUUUUUCUUUUAUGAUAGAUACUGGUUCUCCGGUGUCAUCCUUGUCCAUGAAAGAGUUUGAAAAGCUUACGAAGGAUGAAGUUGUGUCACUUAUGAAGGGUCGCCUAUCAUAGUCAUUGAAAAUCCAAUCGAAAUGGAAACCAAGAAAAUAAUCAAUUCAAUUAAAAAUGAAGCUUUGAAUAAUACUAUGGAAACUCCAAACUUUAUUGUGGCGAAACACGUAUCUCAAUUAAGUGAUUCUAUAUCAAUGGCACUACCAUCACCGAAUCUUAUGAAACGUAUAAUUCACCGAACGCGGAGUUCAAACAGUUUUGCACCUCCGAAUCCUAGCAGCCUUAUUGAGCUGGUAAUUCCGCAUGAAUAUUCAAUUACGGAUAAAUAUGAGGAUUUCAUACUUCAUGAUGAUGGUCCGGUUCCCGACCGUGUUAUCAUAUUUGGAACAAGAAAAAAUUUGGACUUCUUAGCUUCAUGCGAACAUUGGUUUUCUGAUGGUACAUUUAAAUCGUCGCCACCUUUAUUUAUGCAAAUUUAUACAAU